AGCAGCCGCGGUAAUUCCAGCUCCAAUAGCGUAUAUUAAAGUUGUUGCAGUUAAAAAGCUCGUAGUUGAAUUUCGAGAUCAAAUUGCUGGUCGUGCCUUGGUACGCACUGGCAUUAUUGGUUUCUCCCUUCUGACGAACCAUGAUGUCAUUAAUUUGGUGUCUUGGGGAAUCAGGACUGUUACUUUGAAAAAAUUAGAGUGUUUAAAGCAGGCUCACGCUUGAAUACAUUAGCAUGGAAUAAUGAAAUAGGACGUUUGAUUCUAUUUUGUUGGUUUCUAGGAUCGACGUAAUGAUUAAUAGGGAUAGUUGGGGGCAUUAGUAUUCAAUUGUCAGAGGUGAAAUUCUUGGAUUUAUUGAAGACUAACUACUGCGAAAGCAUUUGCCAAGGAUGUUUUCAUUAAUCAAGAACGAAAGUUAGGGGAUCGAAGACGAUCAGAUACCGUCGUAGUCUUAACCAUAAACUAUGCCGACUAGGGAUCGGAUGAUGUUAAUUUUUUUCAAUGACUCAUUCGGCGCCUU
rnacentral:misc_RNA from 1 species